rnacentral:misc_RNA from 1 species
GAUGAAGAACGCAGCAAAAUGCGAUACUUGGUGUGAAUUGCAGAAUCCCGUGAACCAUCGAGUUUUUGAACGCAAGUUGCGCCCGAAGCCUUUUGGCCGAGGGCACGUCUGCCUGGGCGUCACGCAUCGCGUCGCCCCCCACAACUCUCCGUAAAGGGAACUUGUGUUUUGGGGGCGGAUAUUGGUCUCCCGUGCUCAUGGCGUGGUUGGCCGAAAUAGGAGUCCCUCCGGUGGACGCACGAACUAGUGGUGGUCGUAAAAACCCUCGUCUUUUGUUUCGUGCCGUUAGUUGCGAGGGAAACUCUUUAAAAACCCAAAUGUGUCGUCUCUUGACGGCGCUUCGACCGCGACCCCAGGUCAGGCGGGACUACCCGCUGAGUUUAAGCAUAUCAAUAAGCGGAGGA